GUCUGGUGGUGAGGAGAGCUGUAAAAAAACAAAAAAAACAAGCACAAAUUGAACGAAAGGACGAACAGGGAGCAGACAAUAAAGGAUCGUAAUUUGCCGUCCCGGAGUGGGGCGCGGUGGGGGUGGUCUGUUCGGACUGGUUGCACCAUGGCCCGGGGUCAUCAUGCUACGCCACUGGGUCACAGGAUAAUUCAACAUUCCAAACAGGAAUGAUAAAGGGCCCAGCGGUGCACAGUGCCGUCCAACGAUGAUGUCAUAAACACAGCUGGAGAGGACAUCACAACCUUCUGAUGGUGGUGCACAUACACACACACACACACACACACACACACACUCCUCUAUCUCCUCACUGUCAACAACAAACAAGCUACAACAUACUCUGUUUACACAUAGCCAUGCAAUCCAUGCCACAGAGGAAAACACAAAAAAAUAAAAACACAUAGCAGCACAUGAACGGCAUACAUUAUUACUGUGGUGUGAUGUCUCACAGUAUCAAAAACAGUUUGCCAAUGCUAAAUCCUCUCUGUCAGUGUUUGCUGGCCCUCUUCAGGGGUCCACGGUCAUGUAUAAUUAAUUAUAUUUAUCACAAGUGAGUGAUUUCCGGAUGACUUUGGGUUUCCUUGUUGAAUUGAAAUGAGAGAGAGAGAGAUUAACUAAUUAAUAUAUGAACGACAGUGCACUCAGUCAGCCCAGUCCGAUGAAGAAAUGAACAGUGUCAAACUAAGGCCUGGGUCUGUGUAGCAGCUGGCAGAUCUGGUGGAUAUAAUAUGCUAGCUUUUCCCCAGUA